ensembl:lncRNA
CAGCGUCGGUCCCGCCAGCUAAGAUGGAGACAACCAGGAGGGACGUGAAGGCCUGGAAGCGUGCCUGGAGUCUGCAGAGCAUCUGUUCCUCUGUAUGAGGCCCUGGGGCCUUCAACCUGUUUCUGAAGAGCUACUUCUCCGCCACACAGCCCACAAUAGCUGGCGGUGGACGGGGCCUGAUGCCCAUGGUCCCAGGAGCCUGACCCGCACGGCCUGGCUGGUUGCCCACGCAGGGCACUCUUCUCAUCUGGGUCCCCUCUGGCUGCGACUAGUCCCUCGCAAUGUUAUGACUCUUCCUCCUGCCGUCCCGACCUGGCCUGCAAAAGUAAAACCAACUAUGUAAACAGCACUCAGAUCAAGAUACAGAACAUCACCAGCCCUCCAGAAACCUUCCUCAUAGUUUCUCAUGAUUCUCCCAAUCGUUAUUUCUCCCUUCUCAAAGGUAAGUAACUACUCUGCAUACCUCAC